rnacentral:rRNA from 1 species
UGGGGAAUAUUGCACAAUGGGCGCAAGCCUGAUGCAGCCAUGCCGCGUGUAUGAAGAAGGCCUUCGGGUUGUAAAGUACUUUCAGCGGGGAGGAAGGUGUUGUGGUUAAUAACCACAGCAAUUGACGUUACCCGCAGAAGAAGCACCGGCUAACUUCGUGCCAGCAGCCGCGGUAAUACGGAGGGUGCAAGCGUUAAUCGGAAUUACUGGGCGUAAAGCGCACGCAGGCGGUCUGUCAAGUCGGAUGUGAAAUCCCCGGGCUCAACCUGGGAACUGCAUCCGAAACUGGCAGGCUUGAGUCUUGUAGAGGGGGGUAGAAUUCCAGGUGUAGCGGUGAAAUGCGUAGAGAUCUGGAGGAAUACCGGUGGCGAAGGCGGCCCCCUGGACAAAGACUGACGCUCAGGUGCGAAAGCGUGGGGAGCAAACA